GUUUCCGUAGUGUAGUGGCUAUUACGUUUGCUUCACACGCGACAGGUCCCUGGUUGGAAACCGGGUGGAAACA